GAGAGAUGGCUUAGUGGUUGAAAGUGCCUGCUUCUCUUGCAGAGAACCUGGGUUCUAUUCCCAGCACUCA
rnacentral:tRNA from 1 species